GAUGAACGCUGGCGGUAUGCCUAACACAUGCAAGUCGUACGAGAGUUUUUAACUCAAGUGGCGGACGGGUGAGUAACACGUGAGAAUUUGCCUUUAGGAGGGGGACAACAACUGGAAACGGUUGCUAAUACCCCAUAUGCUUUCGAGUGAAAUGAAUUUAUUCGCCUAAAGAGAAGCUCGCGGCUGAUUAGCUUGUUGGUAGGGUAAGAGCCUACCAAGGCGACGAUCAGUAUCUGGUUUGAGAGGACGAUCAGACACACUGGAACUGAGACACGGUCCAGACUCCUACGGGAGGCAGCAGUGGGGAAUUUUCCGCAAUGGGCGAAAGCCUGACGGAGCAAUACCGCGUGAGGGAAGACGGCCCAUGGGUUGUAAACCUCUUUUUUCAGGGAGGAAUAAAUGACGUUAC
rnacentral:rRNA from 1 species